GACGAACGCUGGCGGCGCGCCUAACACAUGCAAGUCGAACGAGCGAGAGAGAGCUUGCUUUCUCAAGCGAGUGGCGAACGGGUGAGUAACGCGUGAGGAACCUGCCUCAAAGAGGGGGACAACAGUUGGAAACGACUGCUAAUACCGCAUAAGCCCACGACCCGGCAUCGGGUAGAGGGAAAAGGAGCAAUCCGCUUUGAGAUGGCCUCGCGUCCGAUUAGCUAGUUGGUGAGGUAACGGCCCACCAAGGCGACGACCGGUAGCCGGACUGAGAGGUUGAACGGCCACAUUGGGACUGAGACACGGCCCAGACUCCUACGGGAGGCAGCAGUGGGGAAUAUUGCACAAUGGGGGAAACCCUGAUGCAGCGACGCCGCGUGGAGGAAGAAGGUCUUCGGAUUGUAAACUCCUGUUGUUGAGGAAGAUAAUGACGGUACUCAACAAGGAAGUGACGGCUAACUACGUG
rnacentral:rRNA from 1 species